rnacentral:misc_RNA from 1 species
GGUCCAUGGAGAAAGAUGCUUUCAUCUAAAGAUCUCAAUUUUGUGGGCUACACGUAUAAGAACUUUGAAAUUGUGAAUGAUUAUCAAGUGCCUGGAAUGGCUGACUUGAAGAAGAAAAACACCAAACCAAAGAGGCCAUCGGUGAAGGCACUUUUUGAGACGGAGUCAGAGACAUUGGAAUCAUCAGAUACUACUAGUGAACAAUCUGUUCAAGGGAGUUUUCUGAAUCUCUUGCCUCCCCAACUAGAAGUAUCUGAAAAGCAGAAGGAUUCCCUCUAACCCUUCCGAUCACUUUGUACUGUCUAAUGAGGAACUCUGUUCGGUUAACCAACUACAAUUUGACCUCCAAUUAUUAAAUUUUCAUUCUUAAUGUUUCGCACCACACUUGGAUACGUUCCUCUACUGACAGUUGCGCGAAGUUUGAGAGGCUUAAUCUCUAAAACCUUAAGGAAGUGCUGGCUUUCACACAGCUGGGGGAAUGAUUCUCCAAGUUUUCUGGGUUAUAAAGAUGAAAACAAGACAGGACAAAACAGUAGAGAAGAUACUAAUUCAUUUACUAUUAGAAUGUAAUAUAUUUAUUUAUUUUUAUUUUACCGUUGGC